GACGAACGCUGGCGGCGUGCCUAAUACAUGCAAGUCGAACGAGAGCGCCCGGUGCUUGCACUGGUCAAUCUAGUGGCGAACGGGUGAGUAACACGUGGGUAACCUGCCCAUCAGAGGGGGAUAACAUCCGGAAACGGAUGCUAAAACCGCAUAGGUCUUCGAACCGCAUGGUUUGAAGAGGAAAAGAGGCGCAAGCUUCUGCUGAUGGAUGGACCCGCGGUGCAUUAGCUAGUUGGUGAGGUAACGGCUCACCAAGGCCGUGAUGCAUAGCCGACCUGAGGGGGUGAUCGGCCACAUUGGGACUGAGACACGGCCCAAACUCCUACGGGAGGCAGCAGUAGGGAAUCUUCCGCAAUGGACGCAAGUCUGACGGAGCAACGCCGCGUGAGUGAAGAAGGUUUUCGGAUCGUAAAACUCUGUUGUUAGAGAAGAACAAGUGCUAGAGUAACUGUUAGCGCCUUGACGGUAUCUAACCAGAAAGCCACGGCUAACUACGUG
rnacentral:rRNA from 1 species